AUGAAUUGCUGCUGGUGGGAAAACAGUAGAGGUACUUUGGGGAACACCCUGGACCCUGGACUUUCUCGAUCUGAAAGCCCUUUGCUGUCCAUGACCGGUCUUUCCCUGACGGGGCCGUUGGCUGAGCCGGGGCAACGUUUAUCUUCUGUGAUAAACAAGGAGACUAAGCUGGAGAGGCUGAGAAACGCUCCCCCAGCAACAGGACCUGGCCCUACUCACCGGCCCACAGACACGGAGAAGGGGGCACGGCGACAGUGUCCUGGGCCACCGCUGCUCUGGCCUGGCACCCACUUUCUGGUCGCUUCCCCACCAGGGGGUGCAGGGCCCCGGUCGAGCUGGAUGAAAGAGGACUCCCGGCCUCGGUCUGCCAGCUUUUUGGAAAGCUGAAGAGCUCCUAAGAAAACCUGUCGUUAGCUGUCAUUCGACACGUUGGGCAAAACCCGCAACCAAGCACUUGGAAGGGUGGCUUUAGGAACACUCACCAGACCUCCUUUCUCAUUCUCAUACCCGGCAACCGCGUGGCCCGUCUCAGGGAGCCACCAUCACGUUGGUCUAUCUCUGCACAGCUGCUCAAGUACGGGUUCCAUCCCAGGAAGCCUGAGGAAGCAGGAAGUCAUCUUAGCUGAGGAAACAGACACUCUGAGCAUCCAUUCCCUGUAACCUGCUUCGUUUCCUAGGCCUUCGUACAAAAUCAAUGCCAAGGUUAAAAAAAUCUAACCAUGGGUUGGGAACAAGGCCUGGAUAUUAUUCCAAGCUCUGGCACAGGCAUGCAGUUUGUCCCUGGGCAAAUUCCUUAGCCUGUCUCUGCCUCAGUCUCAUCAUUCACAGAAUGCUGGGUAAGGAAGGGUACUUCCUUCUCGUUAUUAUGAAAGACAAGCUGUGCUUACGUCCUUCUGCAAAAUGGGACGCCGCUUUCCUAGGAAGGGUACCAGUCAAUACCAGGGUAUGUAUCUUAAAGAGAUAAUCAGAUUAAAAGCAGCAUGGAAUAUACAAAGAAAAAUGAUUGAAUUUCCUAGUGGACCAGGCAUAUUGCUGCCCUUUGGGUCCAAACGAAAAAGUAUAUCUUGAAUUACUGAAAUUUUCUCUUUUUUAAAUUUUUUUUACUUUAUUUUUUGUCUUUUUGCCAUUUCUUGGGCCGCUCCCGUGGCAUAUGGAGGUUCCCAGGCUAGGGGUCAAAUCGGAGCUGUAGCCGACAGCCUACACCAGAGCCAGAGCAAUGCCAGAUCCGAGCCGCAUCUGCGACCUACACCACAGCUCACGGUGACACCGGAUCCUUAACCCUCUGAGCAAGGGCAGGGAUCGAACCAGCAACCUCAUGGUUCCUAGUCGGAUUCGUUAACCAUUGCUCCACGACGGAAACUCCCUGAAAUUUUCUUUCUUGCCUCAUCUAAUACAUGACAGAUUCUAAGUGUCAUUCUUACACCUCAUCCAUUAGUAAUUGCUCACUAAAUCGAAAUACUUGCUACUUUUUCUGGUUGACUGUAUCUAGAACAUUUCCCAGUGUGUUUCAUUCAUUAUUGUACUCAACACGUUUGCUGCAUGAAUAGAUGACUGUGUUGCAUGCUUAUACCGCAAAUUAACAUUUUUUCUUCGUUAGGCACUAUGUUUCUAAUUUCUUGUUUUAUUAAGUAAUGCUGCAAUGUACUAUCUUAUGCAUCAAUAUCUUCCCAGAAAUCUGGUUACCUACUUAAAGCUCAAUCACUGUGAUUUAGAAUUUUGUAGAACAAAAAAGGAAAGCAGUAUACACAAAGAAAAAGAAUAUAUACAAGUGAAACAAACCACAUGGUUAGAAAAUCACAAUAAAAAAUCUGUAAAUGUUAACACUGGUUAUUUCUUGAUAGUGAAAUUAUUGAUGAUUUUCACGUAGAAGUCAUAAUCAGAAAAAAAUCUAUUUAAAAAAUCUGUGAUCCUCGGUCAGUGAAAGACAAUUUAGUAUUUCCUUGCAUGCUACAAUGUUUCUCGCGUUUUGGCCGUGGGUUCUCAAAAACGUGCAGCCCAGCUCAGAAAAGUACAGCAGGUCAGGAGGGGCAGGAACCGCCCCCAGGUGCUCGCAGACGCACCACCAGAUUAAUUGGUGAAAUAAAAGGCGUGCGGCCGAAACCUCAGGGGAUCGGGCCCAAAGCCCAAACCUGAUUCUCCAGGAGCUUUUUAUUAACGGAGGUCAGGACACUGACGCGCCUGGAGUCUGGACCGGAGUCCAGAACCCGGAGUCUAGAACCCGG
rnacentral:lncRNA from 1 species